rnacentral:piRNA from 1 species
UGGUAGCUGGGAAGCCACAUGCUGGA